UCAUCCUGCCUCUGAGAGGAUGGCUUUGUCUGUCACAUAUGCUGAUCUUGGCAAGUCUGCCAGGAAUGUCUUCACCAAGGGCUACAGCUUUGGCCUAAUUAAACUUGAUUUGAAAACAAAGGCCAUAAUGGGUUGGAAUUUAUCAGCUCAAACUCUGCCAACAUGGAGACCAUCAAAUGGCAGUCUGGAAAUCAAGUACAGGUAGACUGUAUACUGGUUAGCAUUGAACUCUGGAUAUCAAGAUCACUAUGGAAGACAAGCUUAUUGAAGCUAUCUUCAGGUUCAUCCUUCUGGCUUAACACUAGGGAAAAUGCUAAAAUCAAGACAAGUAGAAGACUUGGACUUGUGAUGCGACUUCGACAUCCCUGGGGUCUCCAUCUAGGACAUGCUGUUGCUUGACUGUGAGAGCUGGCUGGCUACCAGAUGAAUUUUGAGAUCUUGAAGUUCUGAGUGACCCAGAACAACUUCACAGUUGGCAACAAGAUGGACAAAUUUCCAGCUUCAUAUCAGACUGAAUGAUGGGUCAGUUUGGUGACUCCUUUUAUCAGAGGUGGAGUCUGAGUCAAGUCAGCUUGAGCAGCAGAAAACAGUAACUUAUGUUGGAAAUAAGUAUCAGGUGAAUUCCAAUGCCUGCUUUUCAGCCAAAGUGAACAACAGUAGCCUGAUUGAAUUAGGGUACACUCAGACCCUGAAACAGGUAUCAAACUGACACUGUUGGCUCAGCUGGAUGGUGAAGAUGUCAGUCUAUCACCCACAAGCUUGACCUAGGAUUGGAAUUUCAAGAGUAAAAGAAUAUUGUACAUUCAUCAAUUUUAAAGUAUCUUAUAACAUAGAUACCUUCAAAUUUUAAUGUACCUUUUAAUCCUGUGAGUUAGGAACUUGAGAAUUGAGAAAUACCACAUUAGCUCCCUGGCUAAAGUUGACCCACUUUGAGGUACAGCAGAAAUCCCAUUCCAGGUAUUUUUAGCCAUAGAACUUGCUGGGGAAGAGUUCCUGUAGAGAUGCCAAGAUGAAAUGGAGGCUGGGAGUGCCCAGACCCUUUGUAAAUCUGCAAUGAAUCCAUAGAUGAAAUUGUGACUCCUUGAGCAUCUAACCCUGUUUUCCCAAACCUAUCUGUUGGGAAGCACAUACACACCUAUGCGAUGUGGACUUUUUAGACAAAUAGUCAUAUCCUGUUCUUUUCCUAGCCCAACAGUUACCUGUUUUAUAGUAAAAAUACUAUUCAGGGUGUGGAUAGCUAUUUCUUUAGUGUAAUUUUAGAGUGGAGGCAGAGGACAUUAUAGAGCCAGUCAUUCAGGACUUAAUAUUUUCUUGUGUGUAGUGUUGUUUCUUGUUGUUCUUAAUGUUCUUGUU
rnacentral:lncRNA from 1 species